UACGAAGGGGGCUAGCGUUGCUCGGAAUCACUGGGCGUAAAGGGUGCGUAGGCGGGUCUUUUAAGUCAGGAGGUGAAUCCUGGAGCUCAACUCCAGAACUGCCUUUGAUACUGAGGAUCUUGAGUCCGGGAGAGGUGAGUGGAACUGCGAGUGUAGAGGUGAAAUUCGUAGAUAUUCGCAAGAACACCAGUGGCGAAGGCGGCUAACUGGUCCGGUUCUGACGCUGAGGCGCGAAAGCGUGGGGAGCGAACAGG
rnacentral:rRNA from 1 species